rnacentral:tRNA from 2 species
GUUUCCGUAGCUCAGUAGGAUAGAGCAACUGCCUCCUAAGCAGUAGGCCGCUGGUUCGAUUCCAGUCGGGAACACCA